UGCGCCUGCGGCGGACCCGGCACAGACUGAAAAACGGCUUCGCAGGCAGCCGGUCUGUGUACGGUCUCGUAUAUCCUGGAAUUUUCCAGGAUUUAACAAUUUCU
rnacentral:sRNA from 1 species